rfam:Salmo salar isolate Sally breed double haploid chromosome ssa09, whole genome shotgun sequence.
UCCAUCCCUUUUUAACAUAAGUCGCUCUGGAUAAGAGCGUCUGCUAAAUGACUUAAA